GUCAGUUAAAAAUUUUACAGCACAGGAUAAAGAUUCUGGACACUACAAUGCAUAAACCUAAACGAGAUGUCACAAAUAACUUACGUUCUUUGAUCAUCGAUCACCAAACUAUUAUUGAAUAUACACAACAGUAUAAUUGCGACGUUAAUAUAAUUUUAUUAAUAGAUUUUACAUUAAUUUCACUGCAAAUCGCUUCAUUAAUGUUUCAGCUAAUCACAAUGGAAUUAAGCAUGAUGAUGAUUGUUUUUUUAACGUUUUAUCUCGG